GAUGAAGAACGCAGCGAAAUGCGAUAAGUAAUGCGAAUUGCAGAAUUCAGUGAGUCAUCGAAUCUUUGAACGCACAUUGCGCCCUGUGGUAUUCCGCAGGGCAUGCCUGUUCGAGCGUCAUUUCAACCCUCAAGCUCUGCUUGGUGUUGGGCCCUGCCCGCUGCGGCCGGCCCUAAAGACAGUGGCGGUGCCGCCUGGCCCUGAGCGUAGUACAUCUCUCGCUCCAGUGCCCGGUGGUAGCCUGCCAGAACCCCAACUCUCGUGGUUGACCUCGGAUCAGGUAGGGAUACCCGCUGAACUUAAGCAUAUCAAUAAGCGGAUGA
rnacentral:misc_RNA from 1 species